GUCUCGUUUUGGGGCAAGGACCACCGGGGAGGCACAAGGACUUUCCGAUGCUUCUACCACCCCUAAGCAAAGGAUCUCCUGUCUCAUAUUUUCCUAAAGGACCUCAGGUAUUCGGUACGGGGGUUUCCAAUCUGUGGGUGGCCAAGAUAGUGUACCCCGGCACAUUGGAGAAGGUAUUUUUUUUUUUUUUUGCCAACAUCUGCGGGGCUUGAC